UAAACUGGAAAGUAGAAAAACAUGGGAUUAAAAGUAGUAUUAAAAUGCCAAUUUCAAUAAAUUUCAGUAAUUGGAGGCAAUUGCAAAACAGGCAACACAUGCCCUGGUGAUGCAAAUGCUGAGUGCAAAAGUGGAAAAUGUGCUUGCAAAACAGGCCAUGAAGAGAAGGAUAACGUUUGUACAAAGGUAAUUGGAGGUAAUUGUAAAACAGGCAACACAUGCCCUGGUGAUGCAAAUGCUGAGUGCAAAAGUGGCAAAUGUGCUUGCAAAGCAGGCUAUGAAGAGAAGGAUAUCGUUUGUACAAAGAUAAUCGGAGGAAAUUGCAAUGCAGGCAGUACUUGUCCUGGUGAUGCAAAUGCCGUGUGUACAAGUGGCAAAUGUGUUUGCAAAGCGGGAUACGAAGACAAAGAUAGCGUUUGUACAAAAACUGUAGCGGGGUAUGAUUGCUCAUCAGAUAAAACAGUCUGUGACUCUAUUCAAAAUGCUGCCUGUGAUACAAACACUGGUAAAUGUAAAUGCAACCCUAAUUACAUGAUGCAUGCUGACAAAUGUGAACCGAAGAACUCUGCUACAAUGAUGGAAAUCUGCACUAUCUCACUAUUGCUAUCUGUGUUGACCACAUGCCUUAUUGUCUAGAUCUAAAGGAAUAAAAAAUAAUUGCCCUUACAGAAAUCUUGGAUCAUUGUGUAAAAGUAUCAACAAUCACAAAGACUGUAUUUUAUUUAUUUAUUUGUAGAUAUACACUGUAGUGUUACGUUAUGAUGUGCUGAAGCUUAAAAUUCAAUAUAGUUUUAGGCAAAUUUCAGUUGUUAAGGAUAUGCUGUGUAGAAAAACAUCUUCUUAUGAUGGCAAAAGUAUACAAGUUGACUUGUAAAACUUUCCAAGAUCAAAAGGAAAAAAAUAUUCUAAUCACAAUACCCAUACACAUUGAAUUGUAUAGGCUUGCUAUAAAUAAAACAGUGUUUCCAUUUUUACACUGAGAAAAAAAUCCUUUUAUCGCAGUUCAGUAUCUAUGUUGUUUGACUUUGAAUUUAUCUUAUCACUUGUUAUCUGUACACAUAUUUUCUCAUCAAAGAAUUGAUAAAAUAAUUUGAAUAAUUUAUCUCUUUUACAUUUUCAAGCAAACGCCAUAUCAUGU